rnacentral:sRNA from 1 species
AGCAGCCGCGGUAAUUCCAGCUCCAAUAGCGUAUAUUAAAGUUGUUGCAGUUAAAAAGCUCGUAGUUGAAUUUCGGGAUUGACACAUCGGUCGUGCCUUAAGGGGUAUGAACUGGUGUAGUCAAUUUCUCACCUUCUGGAGAACCGCGAUGCCCUUAAUUGGGUGUCACGGGGAACCAGGACCUUUACUUUGAAAAAAUUAGAGUGUUUAAAGCAGGCAUUUUGCUUGAAUACAUUAGCAUGGAAUAAUAAAAUAGGACGGCAUGAUUCUAUUUUGUUGGUUUCUAGGAUCACCGUAAUGAUUAAUAGGGAUAGUUGGGGGCAUUAGUAUUCAAUUGUCAGAGGUGAAAUUCUUGGAUUUAUUGAAGACUAACUACUGCGAAAGCAUUUGCCAAGGAUGUUUUCAUUAAUCAAGAACGAAAGUUAGGGGAUCGAAGACGAUCAGAUACCGUCGUAGUCUUAACCAUAAACUAUGCCGACUAGGAAUCAGACGAUGUUAAUUUUUUAAAUGACUCGUUUGG